CUCCAGCUGACGAGUCCCAAACAGGACGAAACGCGUGUCCUGGAU
rfam:Schistosoma mansoni strain Puerto Rico chromosome 3, complete genome